UAUUGUUAUUGCAUUUUCAGGAUGAAGGCGAAAUUAAGUAUUUUGGGAGACUGAUGCGCAGCAAUAUUCCGAUGAGUUCUUCAAGGAAUUCUGCCACGUUGACCGAAUAUAAUAUCAGCAGCUAGUGGGUUUUUAUAAGCCUAGCAUAAAAAACCUUGUUUCGCCCAGCCAUUCCCAGCGCUCUAUUCGAUUGGGUAAUCCUCGGAAUACAGAACUAUCGGCAGAUUAUUCGUCGUUCACAAAAACCGUCGUAUUCAAAAUGUAAACGAAUUCUGUAUCAAAGUCAUUUCUCCUCGGGCGAUAGUUCUGCCAGACUAUUCGGCACUACAAAAACCAUUGUACCGGCUUUUUGACGUAAAGGUUGGCUGCCCAGAACGAUGUCACGAUCCACAAAUUUAGAUGCAGUUAAGCUGAAAACGAACUGGAGGAGACACCAAUAUUAAAAGACAAUGUAAGAAAAAUAUGUGGAACUCCGAUCCCAGUUGUUGUCCUGGCCGACUAAGCAUUUAGAUUUUUCACGACGGUUAUAAAGUCAUAACCCUUUCCAAUAGUUCUUUCCGCGGAACAACGAGCCUUCAACUACAAUUUAACCAAGUGUCGACGUGUAACAGAACCGGAGAAUCGGAAAGGGCCUUGACAAUCAUAUCACAAGCUCAAACAAUGUGAUAUUAUGCUGCUGCAUACUCCCCAAUUUCAAAAAUGAGAGCAACAUUGAUAUUUAAUCAAGAUGGGCAAUGAAAUUCGGAGAAGUACGCCAGCAACCUGAAAAUGUAUUGUGGAUGGGAAAUCAGAACCGAGAAUUCGAAGCUAUUCCUCAAGGACUUGCAAUGCACUUUAAUGACCAAAACUAUGCAACUAGAUAAGGAAUUUUUGUGCAUAAUUCUAUAUAAAAUAAAAAUAAUAAUUUUAUAUAUAUUAAAACCAAAUGACAAGCAAUUA